UGGGUGGUAGGGACAGUGUUCCCUGAAAUGGUGGCUGUUCUUAAAGGCACCGGAGAGUGGGGUGGCUGGUCAGUGGUUGGGACAUGAACCAAGAGAAGUUAAGAGGACGGAUGGACUUGGUUCCCCAAACAAAAUUUGAAGGAAAACCAGGGCUCCAAGGCAUUAGACCUCUCCUUUAGACGUGUGAAAGGAUUUUAAUCUGAAAUGGAACUGAGCAUAUGAAACGAAGAAUCACAUGCAUGCACCUUCAGAAGAAAGAAACUUAAGAAUGGAGGGACUGAUGUCCAAAAACUACCUGAUCUAUGAAAGACUUAGACUUAUCUCUUGACCAGUGAACACGCACCAGGAAUCUCUCCCCAUCCUCAAGCCAGUGAACCUACAGCUUGGCCUCUAUCUGGGUUUCCCCCUCUUCACACUUCCUGCCCUUAAACACAGCCGACCCCAACCCUUCAAUGACUGGCCUGUAGCACUAAUGCAUGAACUGCCUAAUGCAAUUCUUCUGCUAUUCCAGAAAAAUUCAAGUUGUGGUAAUAGGAGCUUGCUUCAGUCUACUUCUCGAUUUAGGUUGACUGUCUUCAUUCAUGAGCUUAGAUUCAUCUUUCUUUCCUCUGAAUUCUCCAUCCUGUGACUCAAACUUAGUCCGGGCAGUAUUGCCAUGGCCCUAACAGGGUCAGAACAAAUUAUCUUCUAAAGAUUUAAAAGACUUCCUGCACAAUUUUAACAUGUAGUAAGUGGUUAAUUGAUGCUCAAAUUGGUCAGAGACUUUUCGGUUUAUGCUUCUGUUUUGCCAUUUGGGCUCAGCAAUCUCCAGUCAGCACGCUUCACCCUUGUUUUACAGCUGACAUUGUCUUAACCACAAUUUCAAGGGUUAUUUCUCCCCUUCUUUUUCUUUAACUGCUUUUGGAUUUUGUUUUCUUGAAUGGCUUCUUUUUUCAUGAAAGUGUUUUCUCAGGGAGAGAGUCCUUUUUGAAAUGAUACCUACCUUCUAGUGCAAAGCGUCUCUGUGUCUGUUCAACAAAGCGUCUCCUGUUUUUUAUUCUAAAACCCCACUCUUGUGCCAAGGACCCAUUAAUCAUACCCAAAGGAGUACAAAAGGUCCUGGUUGACCACCUGUCACCUAAUCUUCCUCAGACAUGAACUGGGAGAAACCCGAUCAUGUGGUGAGAUGAGUCAAGUUUGGUUCCGAAUGCAUCGCCAGUUCUUUUAAAGACGAUUUUGUUUUGAGGCAGGAGUGUUACAGACGUGCAUUAGGAUUUUUGUUUUCCCAGCCUCCUGGGUAAAAAAAAAAAAAAAAUCUUGAUUUUUGAGACAUUGUAUAUUUUUGUUUUGCAACAAAAUAAUUGAUAGUAACUUUAUAAUGUUUCUUAAAGAUUGCAAAAUAUCAUUUUCUCCAAGGGGUUUUGGCAAUGGGAGUCCUAUAUCAUCAUCAUCACUAUUAGUGGUGGUGGUGUAUUCAGAUAGGGAACCGAGGCCACUAAAAAUGAAAUUUCCAACCAUGCAGUCUUCAUUAAAAUACAGCUAUCUAUGUCUUAUCAGACCUGGUCAGCCCAAUGCAUUUCUAAUCUCUGGCUACUGCUCCAUCUUGCUCCCUUUAUUACUGGCCUAGGAAAACAUAGGGCUCAAUAAUUUGUAAACGCAGUUGCAAUCCCUAAGAGAGAUAGGUCUGGAACUAGUUUUAGCAUAAGAAGAAAAUCACUGUGUGCUUUUCCUUAGGUUCCUAGAUUGCACGGUUGAUUUAACUCCACACAUAAACAGCUUAUCCACAUUUGUAGAUAUUAUUAUCAACUGAAUUCAGUUUAGCAAAAUACGCCUUUAUGGAGGUAGGGAGCUGGAGGGUGGGGGGAGCUGGCUUUUCCGAUUGCAAGACCUGAGCUGAUCUGGCUUCAGAGCCUGACUGCCUGUGGCCUUGGCCUCACUCCAAUGAAUUCUCUGGUGCCCGGGUUCUUCACAUGCAAAGUGGAGAUAACAAUGCUCCCGGCAUUACAGGUUUGUGAAGAGGAUCGGAUCCUGUCUGUAAAGUGCUUGGGAACUUGCCUGCCUCUUCGGGACCCCUUCAUAAAGGUCAAUCAAGUGGAUGAUCAUUCCUGCCCUGGCCAAGUGUCCCAGCUUCCAGAUGCUGAAAGGUUGGAAAUGUAAGAGCUCCGACAUCAAUGCAUUGAUUGACAAAAACAUCUCCCAGGAAAGAAAUAGGUGGUCACACAGAGGGGGAGCCUGACACAGGUAACCCUCAGUGGAAAAGUCAAGCCCAAGUGAUUCCUGACCAUUGAAGCUAUGAUGCCUUCAUUCAGAAAAUUGCAUAUCUGAGAUACCAAACAAAAAGCUUUGAAAAAAAUGAACAGAAGCCUCAAUUACAUCCAAUGGGAGACCGGAAGGGGGAGCUCUCACACCCUGGGAUCAUUGCAGAGCUUAACAGGAAGAGGAAGUCCUAGCAGAUCCUAGCAGAGCUUAACAGGAAGAGAAGUCCUUUCCUGGCAAGGACUUAGUCAAUGAAAAGCCAUGAACUCUGUUUAUAUUCAUUUUCCUCUCUGUAAAAUUGUUUUCCUUCCUUUGUUUCGGGGGUCUUGUGCAUGGCUCAACAUGGUUGCAGAACCUGCACUGCAAUUCUCUGCUGUUCCCUCUUUGCUGGAGAAAUAGCCGCAAGUCUUUUGCUUCAAGUCAACAGCCUAGAGAGUUUUUACUGAGUGUAAAAUGUGACAGGCUCUCACGACUUCCAAAAUCAGCACAUUGCCCUCCAUGCUGGGGCUGGAUUGCGGAAGACAGGUUAACACAAGUGAAAGAGAGCCAGGGAUUUUUAUUGGACUGAAAACAGUGGGCCAAUAUGGCUGCACCAAAGGUUUGUGGUGCAGAGAUGUGUCCUGAUGUCCUGGGACCAGACCCAAGAUAGCUGCCCCCUCCAUGUUAGUGUGCCUGGACCGUGACCGCUCCAUUAUGGUCUCAAUUCAUCAUCAGGAGCCAAAGCCACCUCUGUGCUAACCAGGUCCCUCAGAUACCACUUGGCCCACAUUGGUUCAGCCUGAGUGCAUGAAAAAGGCAUCCAUCAAUAUUUACCUAAUGAAUGAGUGAAGGUGUGAGGUGGAAAUUUCUAGAAGACUCUUCAGAAAACUCACGAGAACCCAUGAGUCUGAAAUUGAAGUAAGUAUGAUUUCAAAAGGAAAGAUAUCUUAGUAGCAGAGAAAAUCACGUGGAGAAAUGUCUAUAGAGAAUGAGGCCACAUCUCGAGGACGUUAGCCCACAUUUUAUACGAGAUAUUGGGUAUUUCGGGAAGAAGCAACACGGUGAACUGCCUAGAAACAAAAUCACAGGAGUAUUGAAAUGUAGAAAAAAGUAUAAGACUGCUAUGUGUCAGGAAGUAAAUUGGACUCAAUUUUAAAAAUUAAAAGCUAUUGGGAGCAAAAGUCAUCCCAGCAUUUCUUGUUUUUUAAUGAUUAAAAUGCUCAAAAAGUGAGAAAAUAUAUUUUCCAUCAUUAGAUGUAAUUAAAUGAAGAUUCUUUGCUCCACGUGUGGGAUUUAUGCUUUAGUUGAAGAAUUAAGCUAAUGUUUUCCAAGUGUCCCUUUAGUUCUGGCAUUUUGUGAUCUGGUGUGGGUCUAAUCCGCAGACUUACACAUGUAGGAAGAAGUCUGAGAAAGACCACCCGCUUCCAUGUUCAGCCCUGGAAACUGUGAGCCCGAUGGAACACCAGCCCCGACCAUGCUGGUGCAAGGCAUCGUUAUCCUUAAAAGAGGGAGAUUAGCUGGGUGGUCCACGUCUAAUCAGAAAAGCCCUUAAGAGCAGAGAACUUGCUCUAGCUGUUCUAGAGCAAGAAGACAGGGGCAGAAGAAGUCAUGCAUUCAAAGCACUGAAAGGAUCUGACUCUAACCUUGAACAUGGCCACAUGAGAAGGAAUAUGGGCGACAUCUAGGAGCAGAGUGUGAUUUCCAGGUGAUGGCCAGCACGGUAUUGGGGACCUCAAACCUCUAACUGCAAGGAACAGAUUCUGCCAACAAUUGGAAUAAGCCCGGAAGCCUACUGUUCCCUGAUAGGUUCCCAGGAAGAUGGAGACAGACUGCUCCACCCGGCAAAUGUCGCGGUUCACUUUGGAGACCUGCCGUGGACGUGGGUACAGCCCAGCACAAAUCUAUGCACUUUCACGGAAUGUAGAUGCUCAAGUUGGGCAGCAAGAAACAAUGGCCUGUGGAAAACAACUGUCUGCAUAAAUUAACCACCUACAAGGAUUAGCUGUCCUUGGUCACGGUCACGGACUCAACCCCCUACCCCUCCCUUGACCUUCCCCUCCUCCUUCUUCAUCGUUCCUGGUCCAGGUUCCUGCCAUGAACUCCAUCUAGCCACAGAUUCCCACCAUAGAUCCUUUAUAAGCCUAGCACCUCCUCACAGUCAGGGCUGGGGCCAUCUUGAACUCAGCCUGUCCCCUCUGAUGCCUUAAUAAAUCUCUCUGGCUUUCCCAACUUGGCCUUGGACGUUCCUCCCUCGGCAAACCUAACACUCCCCAGAAUCUCCCCCGAAGUGCACACCUGCCAAAAUCUUGAUUUUAGCUCAUGAGCCUGGGAGUAGAGCCAGUCAAGCCCCCCUGAAACGCUGACCUACAAAAGUGAAAAAAACCGAGAGAGUGAAUGAAUGUGAUUUUAGCCACCAAGUCUGUGGUAUUUGGCAAGAGAAAACUAAGACAGCAAGCUUGUGGUUGUUCAAUUCCUAAAUGAAUUAAGACCUUUUGAGUGAAUCAUCAUUUCUGAAACAUAGGCUAUUUAUCUAUCAUAUGUGUUGUCUCGUAUAUUAUUUAGGUAUUUUGGGUUUUGGCUUUUGUUUCUGUUUUUUUGUUUUGUUUUGCUUUGUUUUUGUUUUUGUCUUCUGAAAGCCAGUUCAUUCAUGUAUAUAUUUUAAGAAGUAAAACACAGUAAUUGUGUUAACUGGAUUUUUUCCUAACUUGUUAUGAUUUGGGGUUAUAUUAUUUUCAUUAUUAGCAGGACAAAAUCAGAACUAUGGCCCUGCACAAUCCUAUUUGGUUUAGUCCGUUCUUUCUAAAACUGCAAAGGAUUAUUUCUUCAGAAAGUUCAGGCAUAUUCAAACAUGGUGAAAUAAUAUUUCAAAUCACAAUAUCAUUUCAUUUUGGGCAUUUUGGGUGGAAACGGCUUAUCAAAAUUUUUCAUGCCUUCAGUUCACAGAUUCUUGAUUUGUCCAUGCUAGUUGUAAAGUGAUUCUGUUGUGCCUACCACAUCCUUCUCAAAAAAGAAAAAAAAAA
rnacentral:lncRNA from 1 species